GGAGGGGGGGGGGUCUCCCUCCUACAAUAUGCCGAUGACACCAUAAUAAUGGUUGAGGGCUCCGAGUCCGAUAUUGCCAACCUGAAGUUCCUCCUCCUCUGCUUCCAACGGAUGUCCGGUCUAACCAUCAACUUUGAUAAGAGCGAAGUGAUGGUGCUGGGAUACCCACCGGUGGAGGCCCAGGGCAUUGCGGACCGGCUUAAUUGCCGCCUGGGUUCUUUCCCCGCGACCUAUCUGGGGAUCCCCAUUAGUGACUCUCGCCUCACCGUAGCGGACCUCCGCCCUUCCGUGACCCGGAUGCAACACCGAGUCGAGCCCUGGAAGGGCCGGUGGCUCUCGAAGGCGGCGCGGGUAAUCCUCAUCAGCUCCUCGCUGGCUAGCCUUCUCUGGUUCCUCAUGAGCUUAUAUAGACUCCAUGAGACGCUUCACCAGGAGGUGGCCAAAUAUCAGUCCAGAUUUUACUGGGCUGGCGAGGGGGACAAGCAAAAAUACCAUAUGGUGAGCUGGCCGGACAUUUGCAAACCCAAGGACCAGGGAGGUCUGGGGAUCUUAUCCUCCCGUCGCAUGAACAUUGCUCUCCUGUCCCGAUGGCUAUGGCGUAUUGCCAACGGGGAGGGCGGCCUC
rnacentral:rRNA from 1 species